rnacentral:rRNA from 1 species
GACGAACGCUGGCGGCGUGCUUAACACAUGCAAGUCGAGCGGUAAGGCCCUUUCGGGGGUACGACGAGCGGCGAACGGGUGAGUAACACGUGGGUGACCUGCCCUCAGCUCUGGGAUAAGCCUGGGAAACCGGGUCUAAUACUGGAUAUGACUCCAUGACGCAUGUUGUGGGGUGGAAAGCCUUGUGCGGCUGAGGAUGGGCCCGCGGCCUAUCAGCUUGUUGGUGGGGUGAUGGCCUACCAAGGCGACGACGGGUAGCCGGCCUGAGAGGGCGACCGGGCCACACUGGGACUGAGACACGGCCCAGACUCCUACGGGAGGCAGCAGUGGGGAAUCUUGCGCAAUGGGCGAAAGCCUGACGCAGCGACGCCGCGUGAGGGAUGACGGCCU